GUUUGCUUAGUUUUGAUUAUAUUUUCUGAGUUAAUAUUAUUAGUAUCUGUAAAGCUAAAAACAGUUGAAUAAUGAGCUUGAAUAUUUUAAUGGCCUUACCUUGAUUAGGUUGAAAAAGUAAUGGUGGAGGGCGGAAAUCAUAAAGAAAGUAAUUUCACAGCCAGCCAGCCAAACACAUAAAGUACACAGUUUUAUAUUUUCCUGCUCCAUAAUUUGUCUAUUAUUUUGUAUACACACUUAUGCAUAAUAAUGAACAAAUUGUAGAAUACUAAAAUAUAAAAGUUAUUCAGUUAACCAAAAUGAAAUAAGCAGAAACAGUUUCAUAGCCAUUUUAAAAUUUAUAAAGUACUGCUACUGUCCUGCCUUAGUAAACUUACCAGUCAAACCAGCUGUUUCUUUCAUUUCAUCCAAAGGGGAUCAAGUGAGAAUGUGGUAUAGCAAUGGUACUCCUGCGAAAGGAAGAACAAGCCAAAUAAGCUUGGUGAGGGUGGGUGCUCAAAAGUCCAGUGAAAUGGGAAACCCAGGUGAUCAGUGACAGUGGUGGAAGUAUCAUUAAAACUGUAGGACAUUCGUGAGGAAUGUGUUCUAUUAAUAGGGAAAUCCCAGGAAAUUAUAUCUUGCUGACUCCUUAAAAGGAGGAAAUCAGUUGUAGGAACACAAGUCUAUCUCUUUCUCUUCUCUGUGCUUCUUUUCUUUCCUUUCCUUUCUGCUUCUCUUCACAGGGCAUGAAUGAAAACUGGUUGGCAAGAUACCAGGAAAAAUUAGAAUAAAUGAUCUGGACUAACUUGGAGAAAGAGGCCUUGGUAAGAACCAAGACUAGCUGAUUUUCAUACCUCUUCUGAAAAGCUCUCAAGCGUUUUCCAUAGUGCAAGAGCUAUUAAUUUUACAAGUUAGCUAAAUUGCCAAGUUUAUUUUGUUAGUGUCCAUCUUCUCUUUCUGAGUGCCUCUCCUAUUUCCCCUUUUGAUUCCCUUUAUAUUCUCUUCUCUUCUUUUCCAGGCAGCCAAAGGUCAAAACCUGCUAACUCACAGUUCUGACUUUUCCCUGAUAAAUUUCUUUUUUUUUUUUCCCAACCAACAAAAUCACAACUAAGUGUCUGCAUAGGAGUUAUCAGCAUGGCUAAACUAAGAAAAUUCACUUUAGGGUAUAAACAUAUGUCCCUGCUAUCCUAGAGACACAUGUGUUUCUACCCACCUCUUUGGUUUACUCCCACCUACCUAGUUAAAAGAAACAAAAUCAGCAUCAAAGCCAAAUAAAUAUUUUCACCGCCUGUCUUUCUUACUCUUGAUAAUGUUCUCUGGUUGCAAAUGAUGGUAAAAGCUAUUAAUUGAUGAUGUGGGUACUGGUGGUGGUAGGAGGAUUUGUAAAAUGAAUGGGUACAAUAAGCCGGGAAAUUUAAAGCAUUGAAAUUUAUGACAGGGUGGGUAAACAUGAGUAAGAGAUUUUGCUCUGCCAAAGUUUAGCAACUGUAAGUUCUGUAUUAUAGCUCUGACCAAAAGAUAAGGCCAAAAUAUUUACUUUGACUAGGAGAUAAAGCCAAAAAAUAUAUCCUAAACAUUGUCUUAUUGAAAUCAGAGACCUCUCCAUAUUAAAACAAAUAAUUAUUCUAUUAUUCAAGGAGCAAAACCAAAAUAAAAUUGUCCUAUGCAAAGAAAGUAGUAGGCAGGUCUUGGGUAUCAGGAUUUUAUAUGACAUUGAUAAGGAAAGUUAUAGAGAAAGAAUUUUACAAAUAAUACAUUUACAUUUGAUUUUUCCUCCACAUAUAAAAAAAGAAGGAAUUUUCAGAGCAUUAAAAAAAGAAGCCCAUUAAUUCACUUUUUUAUUCAUUAUAACACACAAAGCUUAUGAAUACUUCUUAUGCUGUAGGUAGCAUCUGAUAGUUGGGUUAGCCAUGUGGAUCAUCUCAGGCUACUACCUCACUCUGAGGUGGAAAUAGACAUAAAAUGGAAAUAUACAAAAUAAUAAAGAGACAAAUCUGUCUUAUGCCUUUUACAAUAUAUUGAAAGUUUAACAAGUUUAAAUAAAUAGAGUAUCAAUAAAAGGAAAUUUGGUUGUAAGUGACAGAAUUAUACAGAAAUGGUCAGAGUAAGACCUUAGCCAUUCACCUCCAAGAACUAUCCAAAGGGAAGGAAUCCCUGUGCCAAGGACUUGAGAUGUCUAGUCUAGUGCCUGAUAUUUGUCUUUUGUGGGAAAAAAUGUUAUGUUCUGAUGCUUUUAAACAUUCAUCUCAAAUAAACAAUAUUUCUGUUGUGAUUCUUCUUUCAGCCUGCAGAAAUUCCCUGUUCAUAAUGUUACUUUUUCUAUAAUUUGCUUACAGAGAGAGAAUGCACUGGUUGGAGGACUUGAAGUGUCUGAAUAUUUUAGCAUUUAUACUUAUCAGUAUACACUAUUAAAAAUGGCAUUUUAAUUUCUUUAUAUUUGUCUCAUGAGCCUUAUCUGAAUGACUCAAACUCAAGUCUGAUUAAGUCUGAAACACCUAAGGUGACACUUUUAGACUGUGUUCUAGGGAGUACAACUGCCCCAGCAGUUGUAAAGGGAUGUUUUUAAACUAAACAUUUUGUGCUCAAAUAAAUGUGAAACUGAAUUCAAAUUCACACUGUAUCUACUCACUAACUAUAUGACCUGCAUCAAAUAGUUAACCACCCUCUCCCCUUUUUUUUUGAGCUGGGGUUUCACCCUGUCACUCAGGCUGGGGUGCAGUGGCUGAUCCUGGCUCACUGUAACUUCCAACCCAAGCAAUCCUCUCACCUAGCCUCCUAAGUAGCUAGGAGCACAGGCACACACUACCACACCUGGCUAAUUUUUUGUAUUUUUGGAAGUGAUGAGAUUUCGUCAUGAUGCCCAGGCUGGUCCUGAAUUCCUGAGCUCAAGUGAUCUACCCGCCUCAGCCUCCCAAAAUGUUGGGAUUAUAGGCGUGAGCUACCAUGCCUGGCCAACCCUUUCAUAAUCUGUAAAAAUUCCCAUUUUAAUAAUUAUAUCUAUAUAAGAGAGUUGUGAACUCUAAAUGACAAAAUAAAGGUAAAGUAGUCAUCACUGUAUAGUACUGAGUAAGGGUUCAGUAAAUAGCAGCUAGUAGCCACAGCAAUAAUAGAAAAAAAUAGCCUUUAAAUUACCAUAUCUAUGUCAUCAUAUCAGAAGUCAUUAACAUUGUUUUUCAUCAUUAAUGCAGCAUUAUAUAAGAUUUUGUUCAUUUGUACUUAAUAUCCUUUAUGUAGAUUGGAAACUAAUGUUAAGCUAAUUUCUGGAAUUUUUUUUCAAUGACAGGUUUCUAUUCGUCAUCAAAAGACCUUCAGGCAAUUAAUAAGAGACAUGAAUGAGAAUGAAAGUGAUGAUAUAAAGCAUGUUAAUAAGUGUAUAAAGGAAACAUGACUCACUGAGAAAAGUAAAUACAGCUCCAUUGACUAAAUUCUAGUGGUAAAACUAACUGAUAAUGAUAAAAGAAGCCCAGAGUCAUAUAACAACAUUUAUUAGGGAAACUGCACAUUCAACUAGUGAUAACAAAAGCAAAAUAUUAACAGAAAAUAUGGGCAAGGAUUAUGGUUUCUGAAUGUUGGAAUUAGAAAAGCUAAAAUGUCCCAUGCAAAACAUUUAUUUCAAAUUAAAAUGUUCUUUAAUAACAAACUAGUUUGCAUUUCAAACAAUUACUGAUAAAGAUUUCUGCAUUAAUAGGCCCUAUAACUCAUUAUAUGAAUUGAUAAAUAUAGUUACACAGUCAAAUAGGAAAAGUUUGUCAUUUUUCCUAUUUUUUAUGCCCUCUAUUUGUUCACAUCAAUGAAUAUAAAGAAAAAUGUAAUGUGUUAAUUUUCUUUCAGACAGGGUGUUACUCUGCCAUCCAGGCUGGAGUGCAGUGGCAUGAUUACAGUUCACUGCAGCCUCAACCUCCUGGGCUCAAAUGAUCCUCCCUUCUCAGCCGCCUGAGUAGCUAUGACUACAGGCAUGCACCACCAUGCCCAGCUAAUUAAAAAAAUUUAUGUAUAUAUAAAUCAUGUCUUAUUAUGUUGCUUGGGUUGGUCUCAAACCUCUGGACUCAAGCAAUGCUCCUGUCUCAGCCUCCCAAAGUGCCAGGAUUACAGGUAUGAGCCACCACACCCAGCCUAAUAUGUUAAAUUAUUCUGAAUUUUAACUCUUAUCACCAACGUGUAAAACAAUAAAAAUGUACAUUUACUUUAAUCGAACAUUACAAAAAACUAAUAUUUAUGUCUAUAUCUUGAUCUAUAUAUUAAACAAGUUAGUAUGAAAGUUAUCAAAAUCACAGUAGUAACAAAUUACUAAAGUACAUAAGCAGACAAUAGUCUCAUGAAGAAGUAUAAUUAGUAAACAAACAGGAAAAAUAUUUUUAACUUUGUGAUAUCCAAAAACUAAAGUAAAAAUAAGACUUUAACUUUGCUUAUAAAAUCAGCAAAAUUAAUUUAAACUUCUAGAGUAGUAAAACUCUAUGCUUUACAGGUAGACAAGGAGGAACAUUGGUUUUGGUGUUUGACAAAACAUUUUGGAUUUGAAUCCGAGAUCUCUCAAUUGCUAUGUGAUUUAAAAUAAAUUCUUAAUAUGCCUGAGCCUCUUAUUUUUUUCCUUUGUGCAAACCUGGGGAUAACAGUAUUUUUCUUUUGGGAUUGUAAAGAGGUGAAUAAAAUAAGGAUUAUUUAUGUUUUUUCUCCAUAAUCAUUACCAGUAUCUGACAUAUAGUUGACACUUGAUAUUUGUUAAACUAAUAAAUUUUUAAAAUGUAAUGUGUUGUUUGUUUCUUUGUUUGUUUUGAGAUAGGGUCUCACUAUGUCUUCUAGGCUGGUGCACAGUGGUGCUAUUAUGGUUCACUGCAGACUCAACCUUCUUCUAAAGAUUGAUGUCUGUGGCUACCAAGAUUCGUAUGUUGAAACCUACUCACCAAUGUGUUGGUAUUAAGAGGUGAAGCCACUGGGUGGUGAUUGGGUCAUUAGAGCAGAGCCCUAAUAAAUUAGAUUAUUGCCCUCCUGAAAGAGAACAUAGUGAGCUGCCUUGCCCCUUUUACCAUUGGAGGGUGCAGAGAGAAGGCACCAUCGAUCAACCAGUAAUUGAGCCCUUACCAGACACAGAUCUGCUGGUACCAUGAUCUUGGACUUUCCAGCCACCAGAACUGUGAGAAAUAAAUUUCUGUUGUUUGCAAGCCUCCUAGUUUAUUGUUGUCAUAAAUUUAUUUAAUAUAGUUGCUGCCUUGGCAUCAAUUUAUAGACCUGACAUAAGUUGCUUGAAACUUAGUUGUACCACAUCACCUUUGGCCUAGUUAAAACUUACCCUCCCAAUGUGGUUGUUUAAGAUACGCCUUCCUGGGCCGAGCGUGGUGGCUCACGCCUAUAAUCUC
rnacentral:lncRNA from 1 species